rnacentral:rRNA from 1 species
UACGUAGGGUCCGAGCGUUGUCCGGAAUUAUUGGGCGUAAAGAGCUCGUAGGCGGCUUGUCGCGUCGAUCGUGAAAACUUGUGGCUCAACUACAAGCUGGCGGUCGAUACGGGCAGGCUGGAGUUCGGUAGGGGAGACUGGAAUUCCUGGUGUAGCGGUGAAAUGCGUAGAUAUCUGGAGGAACACCGGUGGCGAAGGCGACAUCCUGGACCGGUAUUGACGCUGAGGCGCGAAAGCCAGGGGAGCAAACGGG